CUCAACCAAGGCAGGAAAAAAAAGAAGAAAGAAAGAAAAACAGCAAAUUUUGGAGCCAACAUCCUUUAAGUGAGAUGAAUGACAGCAGAAGAUCAAGAGUGAUAUUCUCCUUUCUUGUAAAAUUUUGGCUAUUUCAGAAGGUUUACAGGGAAGAAAGCAAGAGUCUCUUUCCCAGAAGCCCCAGGAAAAGAACACGUCUUCACUGGUUUCAGAAUGUUCCUCAUACCCACCCUGGAACUUGUAGAGAAAUCUAUACAUUGGAAGUAGAAGCAUCCCCUCCCAACUAGGUAAAUAAGUACCAUCCCUUCAUUUUCCCACUUCUGUGACUGCCUGGCACGCAGAUAUGAAGGUGGAGCUGAAGCAGCCACUCUGUGAUCAUGUGAUAACAGCAUGAAGAUCAGAAGAGCAAAGACUCUUGUUUGUGUGAAUCUUCUCUGAAUGCCCAGCCCUUAAAACAUAGGAGAUGUAAAGUACGAGAAAUAUGCACCUAUCUAUUGAAUGAAUGAAUGUUCACUAAUAAACCAGAUCUG